AACAAGGCGUACCUGCGGACCUGCGGAAGGAUCAUUACAAGUGACCCCGGUCUAACCACCGGGAUGUUCAUAACCCUUUGUUGUCCGACUCUGUUGCCUCCGGGGCGACCCUGCCUUCGGGCGGGGGCUCCGGGUGGACACUUCAAACUCUUGCGUGACUUUGCAGUCUGAGUAAACUUAAUUAAUAAAUUAAAACUUUCAGCAAUGGAUCU
rnacentral:misc_RNA from 1 species